GUUACUCCGGCUCCUCCAGAGAGGGCGGAGGAGGAGGCAGGAGUGCGGCGGUGAUUUUGUGCCCGGGCUUCCCAGAGGCGCACUGAAAAGGCUGGCGGAGCUCAGGCAGCCGGGGGCUUAGGGACACACAUUCAAGCCCCCAGCCCCCGGCAGGGGAAGGGGGCUGGAGGCGAGGCGUGAGAGCUUUGGAGGGAUGGUGUCUGCUCGGGGGGAAGGGGCGAACCCUGCCUGUCGGUGGUGAGGGGCUGCGGUCAGGGGAGGCUCUGCGGGUCGAAGCGGCUCCAUGCCCACUGGUGGGUGGAACGUGUAGCGCGGAACGCGGCGGUCGAGCCUGGCGGCCUCUCGGACCCCUGACGCGGAAUUUCAUUUAGCCCACGUUGGGAUUAAUUCUUCGGGGGCAGUUUCGCCGGUCCGCUUCCUCCAGGAGCUGGGCAACCUUGACGGGCUUUUUGUCUUGCUCCAGCCCCCUUUCCCUUCCUCCUCCUCCAGAUGCCUUUUCUCUGCCCCUCCUCGCCCGGUACAGACAUUUCCAGCGCAGGCUACCGCUCGUGGGGGUUCUUGAAGGCGCUUCACGGGAUUUCGGCUCGUUUCCCUCGGGGGUUUUUGAGGAGGGAGAGUUCCCCCCCCCUCCUCGAUGGGAUUUUCCUCGCUUGUCGAAAUGGACUUUCAUUGAUUUCUUCUUACUUAUUUAACGUUUAGUGGCCAAUUCCCUAGGCGUAUUUUUGUGGUAGUUCCUUUUUCCCUUUUCGAAUACAUAAUCUGUAAAAUGGAGAACGAAAUUUUUACUCCCCUUCUGGAGCAGUUCAUGACCAGCCCCUUGGUCACUUGGGUUAAAACGUUUGGAUCCCUGGCUGCAGGAAAUGGGACCAACCUGGAUGAAUAUGUGGCUUUGGUGGAUGGGGUAUUCUUGAACCAGGUCAUGCUCCAAAUUAAUCCAAAAUCGGAGAGUCAGAGAGUAAAUAAAAAAGUCAACAAUGAUGCUUCACUUAGAAUUCAUAAUCUAACCAUUUUGGUGAGACAGAUAAAAUUUUAUUACCAGGAGACUUUGCAGCAAUUGAUUGUGAUGUCAUUGCCAAAUGUCUUAAUCAUUGGUAAAAAUCCCUUUUCUGAGCAAGGCACAGAAGAAGUUAAAAAGCUGCUUUUACUCUUACUGGGGUGUGCAGUUCAGUGUCAGAAAAAAGAAGAAUUUAUUGAAAGAAUUCAAGGUUUAGAUUUUGAUACAAAAGCAGCAGUUGCCGCACAUAUUCAAGAGGUAACACAUAAUCAGGAAAAUGUGUUUGAUCUGCAAUGGAUGGAAGCAACAGAUAUGUCUCAGGAAGAUAUAGAACCACUCUUGAAAAAUAUGGCAUUGCAUCUAAAAAGACUUAUAGAUGAAAGAGAUGAACAUUCAGAGACUAUCAUAGAGCUCUCUGAAGAGAGAGAUGGUCUUCAUUUUCUACCCCAUGCCUCUUCAUCUGCACAAUCACCCUGUGGUUCUCCAGGCAUGAAGCGAACAGAAAGUCGACAGCAUCUGUCAGUGGAACUGGCAGAUGCUAAGGCCAAAAUAAGAAGGCUUAGGCAGGAACUGGAAGAAAAGACUGAACAGUUGUUGGAUUGUAAGCAGGAGCUUGAACAAAUGGAAAUAGAACUUAAAAGGCUGCAACAAGAGAACAUGAAUUUACUUUCGGAUGCUCGUUCUGCUCGAAUGUACCGAGAUGAAUUAGAUGCACUUCGAGAGAAAGCAAUUAGAGUUGAUAAGCUUGAAAGUGAAGUCAGCAGAUAUAAAGAGAGGCUACAUGAUAUUGAAUUUUAUAAAGCAAGAGUUGAGGAAUUAAAAGAAGACAAUCAAGUUUUAUUAGAAACAAAAACCAUGUUGGAAGACCAACUAGAAGGAACUCGAGCUCGUUCUGAUAAAUUACAUGAAUUAGAAAAAGAGAAUUUACAAUUAAAGGCUAAACUGCAUGAUAUGGAAAUGGAACGAGAUAUGGAUAGAAAAAAGAUUGAAGAAUUAAUGGAAGAAAACAUGACUUUGGAAAUGGCACAGAAGCAAAGCAUGGAUGAAUCAUUACAUCUUGGCUGGGAGCUGGAACAGAUAUCCAGAACUAGUGAACUUUCUGAAGCACCACAGAAAUCCUUGGGCCAUGAGGUGAAUGAGCUAACAUCAAGUAAGUUAUUAAAGUUAGAAAUGGAAAACCAGAGUUUGACAAAAACUGUGGAAGAGCUCCGGAGUACUAUGGAUUCUGUAGAAGGCAACACCUCCAAAAUUCUGAAAAUGGAAAAAGAAAAUCAAAGGUUAAGUAAAAAGGUUGAAAUUCUUGAAAAUGAGAUUAUUCAAGAAAAGCAGAGUCUUCAGAAUUGUCAGAAUUUAAGCAAGGAUCUAAUGAAGGAGAAAGCUCAGCUUGAAAAAACGAUUGAAACACUUAGAGAAAAUUCAGAGAGACAGGUAAAAAUAUUGGAACAGGAAAAUGAACAUCUGAAUCAAACAGUGUCUUCCUUAAGGCAGCGCUCUCAGAUAAGUGCUGAAGCAAGGGUGAAAGACAUAGAAAAAGAAAAUAAGAUUCUCCAUGAAUCUAUCAAAGAAACAAGUAGCAAGCUAAGCAAGAUUGAAUUUGAAAAAAGGCAAAUUAGAAAAGAAUUGGAACAUUAUAAAGAAAAGGGAGAACGAGCUGAAGAACUUGAAAAUGAGUUGCAUCAUCUUGAAAAAGAAAAUGAAUUGUUACAGAAAAAGAUAACUAAUUUAAAAAUUACUUGUGAAAAAAUUGAGGCCUUAGAACAUGAAAAUUCAGAACUAGAAAGAGAAAAUAGAAAAUUAAAAAAAACAUUGGAUAGCUUUAAAAAUCUUACUUUUCAGUUAGAAUCCCUAGAAAAAGAGAAUUCCCAACUUGAUGAGGAAAACUUAGAACUGCGAAGGAAUGUAGAAUCUUUGAAGUGUGCCAGCAUGAAAAUGGCUCAGCUACAAUUAGAAAACAAAGAACUGGAAAGUGAAAAAGAGCAACUUAAGAAGAGUUUGGAGCUUAUGAAAGCAUCUUUCAAGAAAACAGAACGUUUGGAAGUUAGUUACCAGGGAUUAGAUACAGAAAAUCAGCGGCUACAGAAAGCUCUAGAAAAUAGCAAUAAAAAAAUUCAACAAUUAGAAAGUGAACUACAAGACUUAGAGAUGGAAAAUCAAACAUUGCAAAAAAACCUAGAGGAAUUGAAAAUAUCUAGCAAAAGACUAGAACAACUGGAAAAAGAAAAUAAAUCAUUAGAGCAAGAGACAUCUCAACUGGAAAAAGAUAAAAAACAAUUGGAAAAGGAAAAUAAGAGACUCCGACAACAAGCAGAAAUAAAAGAUACCACUUUAGAAGAAAACAAUGUGAAGAUUGGAAAUUUGGAAAAAGAAAAUAAAACUUUAUUUAAAGAAAUUGGUGUAUAUAAAGAAUCUUGUGUUCGUCUAAAAGAAUUAGAGAAAGAAAACAAAGAACUUGUGAAAAGAGCAACUAUUGAUAUAAAAACUUUGGUUACAUUACGUGAGGAUUUGGUGAGUGAAAAAUUGAAGACUCAACAAAUGAAUAAUGAUCUUGAAAAAUUAACUCAUGAACUUGAGAAGAUAGGGUUAAAUAAAGAGAGACUGUUGCAUGAUGAACAAAGUACUGAUGACAGUAGGUACAAACUUUUGGAAUCAAAAUUAGAAUCUACUCUUAAGAAGUCACUUGAAAUAAAAGAAGAAAAGAUUGCUGCUUUAGAAGCUCGAUUAGAAGAAUCCACAAAUUAUAAUCAGCAAUUGCGCCAAGAACUUAAAACAGUAAAAAAAAAUUAUGAAGCUCUCAAACAGAGACAAGAUGAGGAAAGGAUGGUGCAGAGCUCUCCUCCAACAACUGGUGAAGAUAACAAAUGGGAGCGAGAAAGUCAAGAAACAACCAGAGAGCUUCUAAAAGUUAAAGACAGAUUAAUUGAAGUAGAAAGAAAUAAUGCUACACUGCAAGCAGAGAAGCAAGCGUUGAAAACUCAACUGAAGCAACUUGAAACACAGAACAAUAAUUUGCAGGCUCAGAUUCUUGCUCUUCAGCGGCAGACGGUGUCAUUACAGGAACAGAAUACCACUCUUCAAACACAGAAUGCCAAGCUUCAGGUUGAAAAUUCCACCCUUAAUUCCCAAAGUACCUCACUUAUGAACCAGAAUGCACAACUCCUAAUCCAGCAGUCUUCCUUAGAAAAUGAAAAUGAAUCCUUAAUCAAAGAUCGAGAAGACUUGAAAUCUCUCUAUGAUUCUUUGGUCAAAGAUCAUGAAAAGCUGGAACUUCUUCAUGAACGGCAGGCUUCAGAGUAUGAAUCUCUCAUCUCUAAACAUGGAACUCUUAAGUCUGCCCACAAAAAUCUUGAGGUGGAACAUAAAGACCUUGAAGACCGUUACAAUCAGUUACUAAAACAGAAAGGACAACUGGAAGAUUUGGAAAAAAUGCUCAAAGUAGAACAGGAAAAGAUCCUGCUUGAAAACAAAAAUCAUGAGACAGUAGCUGCAGAAUACAAGAAACUUUGUGGUGAAAAUGAUAGGUUGAAUCAUACAUAUAAUCAGCUUUUAAAAGAGACUGAAGUUUUACAAACUGACCAUAAAAAUUUGAAAAGUCUUCUAAAUACUUCUAAACUGGAACAAACAAGGUUAGAAGCUGAAUUUUCAAAACUGAAGGAGCAGUACCAACAGCUAGAUAUCACGUCCACCAAGCUGAAUAAUCAGUGUGAGUUGCUUAGCCAACUUAAAGGAAAUUUGGAAGAAGAAAAUCGACACUUACUAGAUCAAAUUCAAACUCUCAUGCUACAGAACAGAACACUUUUGGAGCAGAAUAUGGAAAGCAAGGAUCUUUUUCAUGUUGAACAAAGACAGUACAUUGAUAAGUUAAAUGAAUUAAGACGGCAAAAGGAGAAAUUAGAAGAAAAAAUUAUGGACCAAUACAAAUUUUAUGACCCAUCUCCUCCUAGAAGGAGAGGCAACUGGAUUACUCUAAAAAUGAGAAAAUUGAUAAAAUCCAAGAAAGAUAUUAAUCGAGAACGUCAGAAAUCUCUAACGUUAACACCUACCCGUUCAGACUCCAGUGAAGGACUUCUUCAGCUGCCCCAUCAAGAUAGUCAAGAUAGUUCUUCAGUAGGAUCAAACUCUUUAGAAGAUGGCCAAACCCUGGGGACCAAGAAAAGCAGCAUGGUUGCACUGAAAAGACUGCCCUUUUUGAGGAACAGACCGAAGGAUAAAGACAAAAUGAAGGCCUGCUACCGUCGUUCCAUGUCCAUGAAUGACCUGGUGCAGUCCAUGGUCCUAGCAGGAGGACAGUGGACAGGUAGUACUGAGAAUUUGGAGGCUCCUGAUGAUAUUUCAACGGGUAAAAGGAGAAAAGAAUUGGGAGCUAUGGCCUUCUCUACUACAGCCAUCAACUUUUCAACUGUCAACUCUUCUGCAGGCAUCAGAUCCAAGCAUUUGGUUAAUAAUAAAGAUGCUACAUCCUUUGAAGACAUAAGUCCACAUGGUAUUAGUGAUGAUUCUAGUACGGGAUCAAGAGUUCAUGCUUCAAGACCAGCCAGCCUUGAUAGUGGCAGAACAUCCACUAGCAAUAGCAAUAAUAAUGCUUCACUCCAUGAAGUCAAAGCAGGUGCAGUUAAUAACCAAAGCAGGCCACAAAGCCACAGCAGUGGAGAAUUUAGCCUGCUUCAUGAUCAUGAGACUUGGUCCAGCAGUGGUAGCAGUCCAAUCCAGUACUUGAAAAGACAGACCAGAUCAAGUCCAGUGCUCCAGCACAAAAUGCCUGAAACACUAGAAAGUCGAGCACAUCACAAAAUCAAAACUGGUUCCCCUGGAAGUGAAAUUGUUACUCUACAACAGUUUUUGGAAGAAAGCAACAAGCUUACCUCAAUACAGUUAAAGUCCUCAAGCCAAGAGAAUCUCUUAGAUGAAGUAAUGAAAAGUUUGUCUGUCUCUUCUGACUUUUUGGGAAAAGACAAACCAGUUAGCUCUGGUCUUGCCAGGUCAGUAAGUGGAAAAGCCCCAGGGGACUUCUAUGAGAGACGGACAACUAAGCCUGAAUUUGUGAGAUCUGGUCCUCGAAAGACUGAAGAUGCAUACUUCAUUAGUUCUUCAGGAAAAACUACACCAGGCACUCAAGGAAAGAUAAAAUUAGUAAAAGAAACCUCUCUGUCUCGACAAUCAAAAGAUAGCAAUCCUUAUGCCACUUUACCUCGUGCAAGUAGUGUGAUCUCUACUGCCGAAGGAACUACACGAAGGACAAGCAUCCAUGAUUUUUUGACCAAGGACAGUAGAGUACCUGUAUCAGUUGAUUCACCACCACCUGCUGCUGAUAGCAACAUCACUGCAGCAUCUAAAGCUGCAUUGUUGGUUUCUGAGGAUAAUCAAACUGUUUGAUGUGGACAAAGUACAAGAAAGCAGACAUUCAAAAAGCAGGUCUAGGGAGCAACAAAGCUCCUAAUUCUAUUGCCCACUACAUGACAUGUGGGCCAAGUGAGAGAAAAGUGUCCUUCAGUUUCUCAGUAUGAAGCCUUUAUUUCUGAAGUAACAAGACACCUAGCAACUAUAGGAACCAUUUUUUAAAAAUCUUUAAGGAGACUUAAACAAUCCUUCGUGAAUAGAGCAGGCAAGAAAUACAAACCUUCAUUCCUUCCUUGAAUCAAGGAGCACUACUGGAUUCAACUGCCAAAAGUUUUAGAAGGUUUUAGGACUUAACUAUACGUUGUAUUGUUAAGCUCUACUGAAUAAAGGACGUUCUCUCACUAAGGACCAAGUGUUUUAAGGUCAAGUGUUAAAAGAAGUACUCCAGGAACAAUCUACUUCUCUCAUCAUUUGUUUAUGAAUUUAUCUGUUUGCUUAAUGCUUCUGCUAAGUAUUAGUCCAAAUCUAGCCAUUUAUAUUUAGUUGUGUAAAUCUAAAUUAAAUGCUGUAGUAUUUUGUGCAAUGUACUAUAUAUGAAGAUACAGAGAAAAUUGUUUUGGCAUGUCAGAGCCAUUUUUUCGUUAGACUGCAUGUGUUGGUACUUUUUUUCUUUUUAAAGUCAGUUAUCUUUGAUGCACUGCAAAAAAAUCAGUUUAUAAGAUAAAUCUGAAAAUUCAUAACAAGAGAUAGGAGUUAUAAAAAUAUUAAUCUUCCUUAUUCCUAACUAAGCUACACUAAGCAUUCAUACAUGGAUCCAAGAUAAAAGUGUUUUUCUGAAACUUUUUUUAAUAAGAUGGUUUUCCAUUAAAUAGCAUUCCCAAGGUAAAGCUGUUUCACUGUUUCACUUCUUUACUGUUGGGCUAUGUAUGUUUCUUUUCUUUUUUUCUUUUUUUUUUUAACUUGAGAGCUGACUGUUGCUUAAGAAGUUUUCUUAUGGCAAAAAUAAUGUAAAUAAUUUAUUACGAUCUGCAUUUUGCCAGGAACUCAUUUAUUAUUAAGGUUAUCAUUUAUUAAUAAGAACUUUUCUGUUUUUUGUUCUUUAUAAUAUUACAUUAAAGUUGAAAACUGAAUAACAGGUACUUUUGAAAUAUUUGUAUGCAUUUGUUACCUUAAACAUUUGGAAGAAGCACAAAAAAGUAGAUUUAGUUAACCCAGAGAAACAUCAUUUUUUAGUAGUUCCAAUUUUUAUAUCACAGUUUUAUUUUCUUAUGAAGUCCAAAAAACUGCAUUGAUAUUCAUUAAUACAAAUUCAUUACUUAACAAUAAAUAUCAAAUAGUCUUCUGAAAUAAGAUAUUGACUAUUUUUUAUUUUAAUAGCACACUUCUUAGGCUCUCAUUACCAGCUCUAAAGGACUUUUUAGAAAUGAUUCCUUAUUCCUUAAUAUGUGGUUUAUGAACUGUGUGUGUAUCAUUACUAACCCAGUAGCCAUGAGAAUAGCCUCUCUCCCCUUCCGUCCAUCUGUCUCUCUUUUUGGUUAGCAGUGUCGUGUUUAUAGUUGUCUUUGGAAAGACCAUCAAUAAAAAAGAAAGAGAGACAGCAUGUUUAGCUGACCAGAAAUAGAAAUGAAAAUUAGAGAACUUGGAUUUAUUAACUCAGUGUCAUCAUUAACGUAGGUUUUGCCACCAAAUAAAGUUAAAUCUCUUUGAAACUCUUGGAUGAAAGGUGCUAUAUAAAUGUAAAUACAAAAGAUUCUUACUGAAAUACAAAUAUUGCACAACAUAAAUAUUCAAAAUCUAUUCUCUAGACUUUGAGAUCUCUCUAUCACGACUCCCUUGAUUCAAGUAUCAAAUUGGUAAAUGGGUAUCAUGACAGUCUAGAGACACUUUGCAUGUAAAAAAUGUAAAUUUAUUUUUGGUUGGGUAAGUUGAAAGUAAAUGUAGACAUUAUGUUUUAGCUAAAUACAGUAAGUGGGUAACUUAGAUUUAUAUUAACUAGCAUCUAAUUUGCACAGCUAGGACACAUCCCAGAACUGUUACUGAAAAGUUGAAAUUUAAUGAGUGUGAGGUGGCCCAAUGAAGAUGAAUAUCACACUUUCACCUCUUCAGGAUACUAAUAUUCUAAAAUAGAGAAUCUGCUGAAUUAACCAGCACAUUACUGUUUCUACAGAAAAUGCGGAAUGACAGCCUUUGAAGUACUAAAUUUAAAAAGGCUGAUCUAAAAGGACAAUUGAAAAGACUCAAAGAAGGGGACAUAGUGAGACUGUAAAAAUACAAAUACUCUCAAUUAUAUUCAUCACCUUUUUCAUACCAUUUCAAGAAAGGACUAGAUAAUAACCACAUGAAUAUUUUACUUUCUCCAAAAGCUACCGCCAGAAGCAAACAUGUAGGAAGCCACUCUUUUACCUUACAUAAAGUUCUGUCAAACAAAAUAGUAAAGCCAACUGGAAACUCACCAGGGCCUAUUCCUGAUGAGCCAGACAUACUUUUAAUUUUCUGGUUCUACUCUGAAUCAAUACCUAAAACCCCGAAGGAAACUGAAAAAUUCAAUAUACAGGGUAAUAACUUUGGCCUAGAGCUGUAAUCAUGUGCUUCAAAUCUAGCCAUGUGGAAAUGUUUUGGUCCAAGUUUUUGAAUUGGUGGUUACCAAAGAGUUUAUAAGACAGGUUCGUAUGUAGCACCUUUCAUGCCAGGCAUGGUAAGGGCCUAUUUUAAAAAACCACCGUGUGUGUAAUAGAAUUGCAGCCACCUCACAGAUCAAGUUCUACAACCUGUACUGUCUUAACAGAUUAUGUCAGGAAAUGAAAAUGAUACUGUACCAAAUCUGAAAUUAUAAUGGGAAUAAUAAUGUAUUCUAAAUUACUUUUGUAUUUUAAGUUACUUUUUAAAAGAAAAGUGAAUUUUUUGGUUUUCUUUUCAACUACUUAAUCCCAAAAUGUGUUUUUUUUUCUUAUAAGCCUUGAAUGAGUAAUAUAAAAGGAGCCCAUUUUAUAACUUACAAACUUGAUGUACAUGUUAUUUGGAUAAUGAAAUGCCUUAAAAGGAAUGCUUAACAUAAUGUUGCACUUACAACCCCCAUUAACAAAACCUGAUUUUAAAUGGCCUUUUUCUUUUCUAAGGGUUCUUUCUCCAGUGUUUGCCAUUGUACUUACAACUGUUAUUAAAUACCAAAUCAAUAUAUAACUGUAACAUUUCCUUUAAAACUAAUGCUGAUGAGAAUUUGGAGUUGAAUGGCAAAAUGUUUAUUACUUGGCAAUACUUAAUAUCAGCCAUAGAAAUCCAACUCGUGAAAAGAGGCACCAUUGUUUGAUUUGUCUUUUAAAAACAUUCAUUUUCAACUUAGCUUUUAACUUUGUUUCUCCUUUAAAAAGUUGGAUUAACAUUCACUUUUCAGACUGAUAUAUAAAAAAUAAAAUGUGAUUUUUUACAAGAA